rnacentral:SRP_RNA from 5 species
UUGGUUCUCCCGCAACGCUACUCUGUUCACCAGGUCAGGUCCGGAAGGAAGCAGCCAGGGCAGACGACGUGGGUGCCGGGAUGUAGCUGG